ACAUAGAUACAAGCUAGCGCGGAUGGGGUGAGUAACGCGUGGGUAACCCUGCCCUUAAGUCUGGGAUACCAUUUGGAAACAGAUGCUAAUACCGGAUAAAAAAGACUACUUUUCGCAUGAAAGAAGUUUUAAAAAAGGACGGCGUAAGCUGUCGCUAAAGGAUGGACCUGCGAUGCAUUAGCUAGUUGGUAAGGUAACGGCUUACCAAGGCGAUGAUGCAUAGCCGAGUUGAGAGACUGAUCGGCCACAUUGGGACUGAGACACGGCCCAAACUCCUACGGGAGGCAGCAGUAGGGAAUUUUCCACAAUGGACGCAAGUCUGAUGGAGCAACGCCGCGUGAGUGAAGAAGGUUUUCGGAUCGUAAAGCUCUGUUGUUGGUGAAGAAGGAUAGAGGUAGUAACUGGCCUUUAUUUGACGGUAAUCAACCAGAAAGUCACGGGCUAACUACGUGCCAGCAGCCGCGGUAAAU
rnacentral:rRNA from 1 species